rnacentral:rRNA from 1 species
UACGGAGGUGGCAAGCGUUGCUCGGAAUCACUGGGCGUAAAGGGCGCGUAGGCGGGGAGGUAAGUCGGGUGUGAAAUCCCUCGGCCCAACCGAGGAACUGCGCCCGAGACUGCUUCUCUUGAGUCCCGGAGAGGAAGAUGGAAUUCCCGGUGUAGCGGUGAAAUGUGUAGAGAUCGGGAGGAACACCGGUGGCGAAGGCGGUCUUCUGGACGGUGACUGACGCUGAGGCGCGAAAGCGUGGGGAGCAAACAGG